UGGGGAAUAUUGGACAAUGGGCGCAAGCCUGAUCCAGCCAUGCCGCGUGAGUGACGAAGGUCUUCGGAUUGUAAAGCUCUUUUUGGCGGGGACGAUAAUGACGGUACCCGCAGAAUAAGCCCCGGCUAACUUCGUGCCAGCAGCCGCGGUAAUACGAAGGGGGCUAGCGUUGUUCGGAAUCACUGGGCGUAAAGCGCACGUAGGCGGAUUUGUUAGUCAGGGGUGAAAUCCCGGGGCUCAACCUCGGAACUGCCUCUGAUACUGCAAAUCUCGAGUCCGAUAGAGGUGAGUGGAAUUCCUAGUGUAGAGGUGAAAUUCGUAGAUAUUAGGAAGAACACCAGUGGCGAAGGCGGCUCACUGGAUCGGUACUGACGCUGAGGUGCGAAAGCGUGGGGAGCAAACAGGAUUAGAUACCCAGGUAGUCCCUGAGCGGGCUGGCAAGGCGCAU
rnacentral:rRNA from 1 species